UCAAUUUUUUCAGCAGAGAGGUCUAUAAGUAAAUGAUGUUAAAGGAUUUAUGUUCUUUCUGUGUGUGUGUGUGUGUGUGUGUGUGUGUGUGUCUGUGUGUGGUGUUGAGGGCCCUGAGGGUUCUUAGGAGGCCAUGUGUGUAUGAGUCACCAUCAGCAUGGGAGGGGAGCUCAGGGCUGCAGAGCUGAUGCUCUCUUAGUUUACUAGGAGCUCUCUUCACCUUCCCCUCCCGCAUGGAGAAAAGAGCAGCAGCCACAGCUACGCUAGUGAUUAACUUUGGAAGGAAAUUAAGGCUUGACCGCUGCUGCUGACCUGAGGGGAGAGUCACCUCCAAGCAGACUGCGCUGGCUCAAGAACAUGGAGUGAGCCGCAGCAGGUGGAAGCACUCAGAGAGGGCGCUGCUAGCAUCAGGUCCGGAGGGGUUCCACUCGAGGUUCGACGCAGAGAAGGAAGGAGGAGGAGAAGAGAAUAAGAGGGAGAGAAGAAAGCAAAAAAUUUUGGCACCAGUCAACAGACGUCUAAAGACGCUCGUAUGGAGGGGCUUGAAGAGAACCGAAGAAGCUGGCCAUGCUCCCACCCGCCUUAUGAGAGGCUCAGACAUAGCCUUGAACUAUCCCUGGGACACCCAACUCUUCCAAGCUAUUCAGUGAGUGAUGAGAAAACUAAGCUGUGGAACAGACUGUUACCUGCCCAGGAUGAGACAGCAAGCUCAGAUGAGACUUCUGACUUCCUGAUCCAGGUCGAUUUAAAGGUGCUGGUGAAGUGA
rnacentral:lncRNA from 13 species